CCCCAGCUCAGAAGUCUGCCCCAGAGGAUGGGACUGCCCCCCUCGCAGAGGUGAUCUGAAUCAGCCAGUCCCAGCCCUGCCUUCAAGCAGAGCCCGUCCAGUUUUGUGCCCUGUAGGGUGUACCUGGAGCACCUGGAGCCCAAGAAGCUGCCCAUCACCUUGGUGGUCCUGAGAUCAACGCUCUGCCCAUGAUGAAGGCUGAACCUGCUGAGCAACCCAAAAGCAGAGACAGAGCGUGAGUGGAGGAGGGACAGAGAGAGAGGGAGACACAGAAUCUGAAGCAGGC